UGGGGAAUUUUGGACAAUGGGCGAAAGCCUGAUCCAGCAAUGCCGCGUGUGUGAAGAAGGCCUUCGGGUUGUAAAGCACUUUUGUCCGGAAAGAAAUCCUUGGCUCUAAUACAGUCGGGGGAUGACGGUACCGGAAGAAUAAGCACCGGCUAACUACGUGCCAGCAGCCGCGGUAAUACGUAGGGUGCAAGCGUUAAUCGGAAGUUACUGGGCGUAAAGCGUGCGCAGGCGGUUUGCUAAGACCGAUGUGAAAUCCCCGGGCUCAACCUGGGAACUGCAUUGGUGACUGGCAGGCUAGAGUAUGGCAGAGGGGGUAGAAUUCCACGUGUAGCAGUGAAAUGCGUAGAGAUGUGGAGGAAUACCGAUGGCGAAGGCAGCCCCCUGGGCCAAUACUGACGCUCAUGCACGAAAGCGUGGGGAGCAAAACAGGAUUAGAUACCCUGGUAGUCCACGCCCUAAAACGAUGUCAACUAGUUGUUGGGGAUUCAUUUCCUUAGUAACGUAGCUAACGCGUGAAGUUGACCGCCUGGGGAGUACGGUCG
rnacentral:rRNA from 1 species